rnacentral:rRNA from 1 species
GACGAACGCUGGCGGCGUGCCUAAUACAUGCAAGUAGAACGCUGAAGCGAGGAGCUUGCUCUUCUUGGAUGAGUUGCGAACGGGUGAGUAACGCGUAGGUAACCUGCCUUGUAGCGGGGGAUAACUAUUGGAAACGAUAGCUAAUACCGCAUAACAAUGGAUGACACAUGUCAUUUAUUUGAAAGGGGCAAUUGCUCCACUACAAGAUGGACCUGCGUUGUAUUAGCUAGUAGGUGAGGUAAUGGCUCACCUAGGCGACGAUACAUAGCCGACCUGAGAGGGUGAUCGGCCACACUGGGACUGAGACACGGCCCAGGCUCCUACGGGAGGGAGCAGUAGGGAAACUUCCGCAAUGGGGGCAACCCUGACCGAGCAACGCCGCGUGAGGGAAGAAGGGUUUCGGAUCCGAAAGCUCUGUUGUAAGGCAAGAAAGGGUGUGAGAGUGGAAAAUUCACACUGUGACGGUAGCUAACCAGAAAGGGACGGCUAACUACGUG